CUUGAGACAAGAGGUUAGGUGUCUCUGUGAUGAUCUCUGAGAGGCCCCUGGGCAAUCACUGUCACCAUGGUCUGCUUUAAUUUGACAACCUAAACUGAUAGCAGCAAUGUCCCAAUGUGUCCUCCACAGUGCCUCCAUAUAUAAGAGGACAGCCAAGAGCACCACAGAGGAACUGUAGCUAGUGAAAAUCACUAGUUCUGUCACCAUACCUAAUGAAGGAGCAACUCCAAGUCAGGCCAUCAGAGUUGACAGAACCAAGGCUGGCACAAGGAGAUACUCAGCCCAGGUCCGUGGAGAACAGGUUGGGCUAAGCGUCAGCCUCCUGCUUCAGAGAGCUCCCCUGACACCAUCCAUGAGGAGCUUUGGGAACAGGACAUCUCUGUGCCCUGCAGCCCAGAACCCCGGUCAUCACAGGACAAGGCUGAGAAAAGAGAGCACCAGACAUGUCUGCUGUGUGCGCCUAUGUCCUUCCAAAGGGAUUCGAAUGUGUUUUAAAUAAAUGGCAUUUUUUUUCCUACCGAAC
rnacentral:lncRNA from 1 species